UACGAAGGGGGCUAGCGUUGCUCGGAAUCACUGGGCGUAAAGCGCACGUAGGCGGCUUUUUAAGUCAGGGGUGAAAUCCUGGAGCUCAACUCCAGAACUGCCUUUGAUACUGAGAAGCUUGAGUCCGGGAGAGGUGAGUGGAACUGCAAGUGUAGAGGUGAAAUUCGUAGAUAUUCGCAAGAACACCAGUGGCGAAGGCGGCUCACUGGCCCGGUACUGACGCUGAGGUGCGAAAGCGUGGGGAGCAAACAGG
rnacentral:rRNA from 1 species